GGCUGGUCCGAGUGCAGUGGUGUUUACAACUAAUUGAUCACAGCCAGUUAACAGAUUUCUUUGUUCCUUUUCCAUUCCCACUGCUUCACUUGACUAGCCUUAA
rnacentral:Y_RNA from 1 species